UUCAGAGCUGAGUGGUCCCACAUCAACAGUGUCCAGAGGCAGUCCUGUAUAUGUGCAUGCCUCCUCCUUGCGUGCUUCUCCUGCACCAUGUACAGCCUCCAAAAAUCAGCCCGCAGCCAUUCUGUCAAGAACAGAGGGUACUGAUGUACCUUCAGUGCCAGUGAAGGCCCCCAUUCCAGUCCCAGUGGAACUUCUGCGCGUGUUCGUGGCGCUCACUGAAGCAGUAGCGCAAACCCCUGCCACACAUGAGCCAGAGACACGACUGGAUGAAGCAGUAAUACAGCCAGCAACAACUUCUCCUGCCCAGCUAAGGUAUUUUCCAAUACCAAGCACAAGGCAUGGCAAGGGAGAUGACCUGGAGUGAGUUUCAGACCACUGCCUUUUAUGAAAAGGAUAACAAAGAAAACAAAGAUCAAUUAUCUUGAUCAACUGAGAGAGGAAAAUGAAGCACACACGUGUGCACACAGACACGAGCAUGUACACACACACACAAACGCACACGCAUACACACACGCACGCACACACACACACUCGCACGCACGAACGCACAGACAUGCGCAUGUACACACACACACGCACACACACAGAUACACACAGUGCUUCCAGGCCCCCACCCCCCAACAUUGAACAUUGGAACAUUGUAAAAUGCCUUUUUUUGGGAAAGGUUUAUAUAUUCGUUCCCUUUGUUUAAGUGUAUGUUUGUGCUGUUGCCGCACAGUUUUUUUACAUAGAUG